rnacentral:rRNA from 1 species
ACUCCUAACGGGGAGGCAGCAGUGGGGAAUAAUUGGACAAUGGGGGUAAACCCUGAUCCAGCCAUGCCGCGUGUGUGAAGAAGGCCUUCGGGUUGUAAAGCACUUUCAGUGGGGAGGAAAGGUUGAUGGUUAAUACCCAUCAGCUGUGACGUUACCCACAGAAGAAGCACCGGCUAACUCCGUGCCAGCAGCCGCGGUAAUACGGAGGGUGCAAGCGUUAAUCGGAAUUACUGGGCGUAAAGCGUGCGCAGGCGGUCUGUUAAGCGAGAUGUGAAAGCCCCGGGCUCAACCUGGGAAGCUGCAUUUCGAACUGGCAGACUAGAGUCUUGUAGAGGGGGUAGAACUUCCAGGUGUAGCGGUGAAAUGCGUAGAGAUCUGGAGGAAUACCGGUGGCGAAGGCGGCCCCCUGG